rnacentral:rRNA from 1 species
GGAGUAGCAGAGCACAGCGCUCCCUCCGGCUAGCCUCGCCGGCGUCGAGACCUCCGCCUUUGCCGCCGCUGUUUCCCGACAUCCAGGUGGUGCUCACGCCGUUCCACUGGUGCUGGAGGAGUGGAGGAGACCGACAAGGGGCAGGGAGUCGCCGUGUUACUGCUCGUGUAGGCCAGCACAGGGCGAAGCAGGGUGAGCGCGCGGGCAGAGUUCGUCAUGGCCUGGGCAGAGCAGCGGCGGCGGAGGCGAGCGCGCAGGCGGGGGUGCGUGGGCUGGCGCGGCGCGGACGCGGAGGAGCAGCAGGCCGCCACUGCAGCGCGCAGGCUGGGCUACGCCGCCCAGGCGAGCAGGCGGGCGUGGCGGGGCGGCGGCGACUGCGCGGGGCAGGCGGCAGGGCGCGGGCACAGCGGGCGAGAGCUCACCUGGCACUUAGGCCCUCUGCUCGCGUGCGCUGCUGGUAGAGCCCCAGGUCUCACCCUCCCCUUCUCCCAUGGCGGCGACCUCUGCCCAAUCCGAAACCAUGGCGUGCGAUGGCACCCGAUCUGAGAGAGGAGGAAAACGCGAGAGGGAGGAGAGAGGGGAAGUGGAGGCGGAUAUUUUCUAGGGUCGCUCGUCUCCAGCCCGAACGAGGCAUACCUUAGUCACCGUAAAAAGCAGCUGAUUUAUUGGGCCCAUGGCUAACAUGACCCACCCGGCAGACACUCUGGAAGCAGAUGCGGAUGUAUAAACGAACCAAUGGUCCACCAUGCGCCAGCAGCCAAAAUGCAGCUACAGGAAAAGAAUCGAGCGGCCCAGCGAUCGUA